CCUCGGAUCUUCACCCCACCCUCAGGAACAUCAUCCACAGGAUCAAAGCCUACGAGACGGAUGCUACGGAGAGUAUGCCUGAUGCUGGGGAACUGAACAGCCUUCAGUGCCUACAGGAAACAUCCAGCAGUAAACAGCAGCUAAUCAACCUGUUGCGUAAUGUAGAGCAACAGCAGCGUGCACUGUGGGCGGGACAUGUGGAGGGGGUGGAGCGUCGUGCUCCAGAGGUGCACUGUUCAGCACUGACCAGCAGGGGGCUCUGUGCCUCCACACACACUGUACUGGAGGCUGAGCUGGAACACACACACACAGCGCUGGAGCACACUCAGACGGCCCUCAUACACUUCAGGACUCAGGUCCAUCAGCUAGAGGCUGAGCUGAGGACAGGACGGCAGCUACACACACACUUCACCUGCACAGACACACACAAAUGUGCACACACACACACAUGUGCCCACACUGACACCGCAAGCCCAGGAAGUCAGACCUCACACACGGCAACUCCAGGAGCUCAAACACCACAGACCUUACAAACUUUACAGACUCAAACUUUAC